rnacentral:rRNA from 1 species
GCCUAACACAUGCAAGUCGAGCGAACCUUCGGGUUAGCGGCGGACGGGUGAGUAACGCGUGGGAACGUACCCUCUUCUGCGGGAUAGCCACUGGAAACGGUGAGUAAUACCGCAUACGCCCUUUGGGGGAAAGAUUUAUCGGAGGAGGAUCGGCCCGCGUUGGAUUAGGUAGUUGGUGGGGUAAUGGCCUACCAAGCCUACGAUCCAUAGCUGGUUUUAGAGGAUGAUCAGCCACACUGGGACUGAGACACGGCCCAGACUCCUACGGGAGGCAGCAGUGG